rnacentral:rRNA from 1 species
UACGGAGGGAGCUAGCGUUGUUCGGAAUUACUGGGCGUAAAGCGCACGUAGGCGGCUUUGUAAGUUAGAGGUGAAAGCCCGGAGCUCAACUCCGGAACUGCCUUUAAGACUGCAUCGCUUGAAUCCAGGAGAGGUGAGUGGAAUUCCGAGUGUAGAGGUGAAAUUCGUAGAUAUUCGGAAGGACACCAGUGGCGAAGGCGGCUCACUGGACUGGUAUUGACGCUGAAGUGCGAAAGCGUGGGGAGCAAACAGG